UGAUGGACAUUGUUUAUUUUUUUUAUGGGCCAACAAUACCUCUAACAGAAUUGUGGACGCAUUUGCCGUAUCUUCUGUAGAAAUGGAACUGUCUUUGAACAGCAAUCUAGCCCUACCCUUUGUUGAGAGAUCAAGGUUGUCCACCCAAAGGUAAAAGGAAGGAUUUAUCUCCAUCCAGGUGCAUUUAAAAGACGAAAAGGGUGCUAAAGGUCAAGAUGGUAGCCAUCACCACAGUGUUUUUUACAUCUUUAUUUACACCUAUUACAUGUGGA